rnacentral:rRNA from 1 species
GAUGAACGCUGGCGGCGUGCCUAAUACAUGCAAGUCGAGCGAACAGAUGAGGAGCUUGCUCCUCUGACGUUAGCGGCGGACGGGUGAGUAACACGUGGAUAACCUACCUAUAAGACUGGGAUAACUUCGGGAAACCGGAGCUAAUACCGGAUAAUAUAUUGAACCGCAUGGUUCAAUAGUGAAAGACGGUUUUGCUGUCACUUAUAGAUGGAUCCGCGCCGCAUUAGCUAGUUGGUAAGGUAACGGCUUACCAAGGCAACGAUGCGUAGCCGACCUGAGAGGGUGCGCGCCAACAGGGGAACGGAGCAGCGGCCAGAACUCCUAGGGGAGGCGGCAGGGGGGAAUCUUCCGAAAGGGGCAAAAGCGUGAGGGAGAAACGCCGCGGGAGGAAGGAGGGUUUUGGGAUCAAAAACCUGUUUUAUGGGGGAAAAAAAAAUGUGAAAUAAACUAUGCCCGUCUUGACGGUACCUAACAAGAAACCCCCGGCUACCCAGGGG